rnacentral:rRNA from 1 species
UACGGAGGGGGCAAGCAUUAAUCGGAUUUAUUGGGCGUAAAGGGGGCGUAGGCGGAUAAGCAAGCCAGACGUUAAAUGCCGUGGCUCAACCCCGGAACGUCGUUUGGUACUACUGAUCUAGAGUGUCGACGGAGAAAACGUAAUUCCACAAGUAGCGGUGAAAUGCGUAGAUAUGUGGAAGAACACCGGUGGCGAUGGCGGUUUUCUAGUUUAUACCUGACGCUGAGGCACGAAAUCUAGGGGAGCAAACAGG